rnacentral:rRNA from 1 species
GACGAACGCUGGCGGCGUGCUUAACACAUGCAAGUCGAACGGAAAGGCCCUGCUUUUGUGGGGUGCUCGAGUGGCGAACGGGUGAGUAACACGUGAGUAACCUGCCCUUGACUUUGGGAUAACUUCAGGAAACUGGGGCUAAUACCGGAUAGGAGCUCCUGCUGCAUGGUGGGGUUUGGAAAGUUUCGGCGGUUGGGGAUGGACUCGCGGCUUAUCAGCUUGUUGGUGGGGUAGUGGCUUACCAAGGCUUUGACGGGUAGCCGGCCUGGGAGGGUGACCGGCCACAUUGGGACUGGGAUACGGCCCAGACUCCUACGGGAGGCAGCAGUGGGAAAUAUUGCACAAUGGGCGGAAGCCUGAUGCAGCAACGCCGCGUGCGGGAUGACGGCCUUCGGGUUGUAAACCGCUUUCGCCUGUGACGAAGCGUGAGUGACGGUAAUGGGUAAAGAAGCACCGGCUAACUACGUG